UUUUUUUUUUUUUUUUUUUUUUUUUUUUUUCACUUGCCAAA
rnacentral:ribozyme from 1 species